rnacentral:rRNA from 1 species
CAGCCGCCGCGGGAAUACGUAGGUGGCAAGCGUUGUCCGGAAUUAUUGGGCGUAAAGGGCUCGCAGGCGGUUUCUUAAGUCUGAUGUGAAAGCCCCCAGCUCAACCGGGGAGGGUCAUUGGAAACUGGGAAACUUGAGUGCAGAAGAGGAGAGUGGAAUUCCACGUGUAGCGGUGAAAUGCGUAGAGAUGUGGAGGAACACCAGUGGCGAAGGCGACUCUCUGGUCUGUAACUGACGCUGAGGAGCGAAAGCGUGGGGAGCGAACAGGAUUAGAUACCCGUGUAGUCCCUGUCUCUUAUAC